rnacentral:tRNA from 1 species
GGGCUUGUAGCUCAACCUGGCUAGAGCGAUGGCCUCUUAAGCCAUAGGUUGCGGGUUCAAAUCCCGUCAAGCCCG